GGCCGGUUAGCUCAGUCAGUAGAGCAUAAUGCUAACAACGCUAAGGUCACGGGUUUGCUUCCCGUUCGGUCC
rnacentral:tRNA from 1 species